rnacentral:lncRNA from 1 species
CGUAAGCACCUCUCGGCCAGGGUGAGGCCAAUGGAGUAGGCGGGGCAUUUUGCGUGCUACAUUCUAAGAAGUAUUGGUUGUGAUGUGAUGGGAAGAACACAGUCAGUCCUGUAUACAGCACUAAAGCUGAUGAAUGAUCUAUCUUACACUAGCCAAAGUGAAGUCUGAAAGAUGUGAAGAAAUGCAGUACAUUUGUACAUUGGCACAUUGCCCUGCAGAGGACUGGCAACACUCCAGAAAUGAUGGAGACAGGAUACAUCAACCUGUAUCACUGAAGAUGAUGUGGAGCAGAGCCUUUGUGGUCCUAAGAAACAUGUAUAAGAUAAAAACUUUUGUGGUUUUUCAA